rnacentral:misc_RNA from 1 species
UCUGUUUUUUUUUUUUUUGUAGGUUGUGGUAUUAUUUAGUUAGUUAGUUUUAUUGUUUUUAUUUAUUUAUGUAUUUAUUUAUUUUAUUUCAUUUAGAACUCUGUUAUGGCACUAAUGAAUAUUUGUAUUAAUUAAUAAGGAAAAUUGAGAUUAAAUGGAUAUUGGUUAUUAAGGUUGAGCCAAGCUAUCCAAAUUGUUAGGUUGUACAUUAGUUUGAGUAACACUCCCUAAUUUGUUUUAAUAUUUUAUAAUGUUUAAUAAUAUUUUAUUUCUAUAUGUUGGGUGUUGAGUUGGGUUUGAUUAUGGAUUUGGGAAUAGUAAAGCUUAUUACAGGCUUCAGAAGUUUUAUAUUAGCCCAAAUUCUAGUGUCAGUUCGGUCCAUGGGAUUGGGUCAUGACAUAACUGAACUUGCUCUUCGGUUAGCAAUAUGGAUUCAGUGGUUGAGAUAAGAAAAUAUGCAUGCUUUGCAUUGUCG